CUGCUACUCCCUCCAUUCUCAAUUACUUGUCCCACGUAUGAAUGUAUCUAGAUGUAUUUUAGUUCUAGAUACAUCCAUUUCCGCGGCGAGUAAUUUGGAACGGAGGGAGUAGUUG
rfam:Triticum urartu cultivar G1812 contig577284, whole genome shotgun sequence.